rnacentral:rRNA from 1 species
CCUACGGGAGGCUGCAGUGGGGAAUAUUGGACAAUGGGCGAAAGCCUGAUCCAGCCAUGCCGCGUGUGUGAAGAAGGCCUUCGGGUUGUAAAGCACUUUCAGUGGGGAAGAAAGCCUUGGGGCUAAUACCCUCGAGGAAGGACAUCACCCACAGAAGAAGCACCGGCUAACUCCGUGCCAGCAGCCGCGGUAAUACGGAGGGUGCGAGCGUUAAUCGGAAUUACUGGGCGUAAAGCGCGCGUAGGCGGUCUGAUAAGCCGGUUGUGAAAGCCCCGGGCUCAACCUGGGAACGGCAUCCGGAACUGUCAGGCUAGAGUGCAGGAGAGGAAGGUAGAAUUCCCGGUGUAGCGGUGAAAUGCGUAGAGAUCGGGAGGAAUACCAGUGGCGAAGGCGGCCUUCUGGACUGACACUGACGCUGAGGUGCGAAAGCGUGGGUAGCAAACAGAAUUAGAUACCCCAGUAGUC